rnacentral:rRNA from 1 species
UACGGCGAGUGAGCGGGAAGAGCUCAAAUUUGAAAUCUGGCAGUCUUCGAUUGUCCGAGUUGUAAUCUAUAGAGGCGUUUUCCGUGCCGGACCGUGUCCAAGUCUCCUGGAAAGGAGUAUCAAAGAGGGUGAUAAUCCCGUACUUAACACGACCACCGGUGCUCUGUGAUACGUCUUCUACGAGUCGAGUUGUUUGGGAAUGCAGCUCAAAAUGGGUGGUGAAUUCCAUCUAAAGCUAAAUAUUGGCGAGAGACCGAUAGCGAACAAGUACCGUGAGGGAAAGAUGAAAAGCACUUUGGAAAGAGAGUUAAACAGUACGUGAAAUUGUUGAAAGGGAAACGAUUGAAGUCAGUCGUGUUCUUUGGAUUCAGCCAGUUCUGCUGGUCUACUUCCUUUGAACGGGUCAACAUCAGUUUUGUCCGGUGGAUAAAGGCAGUAGGAAUGUAGCUUCUCCGGAAGUGUUAUAGCCUAUUGUCACAUACACUGGGUGAGACUGAGGACUGCAGCUCGCCUUUAUGGCCGACCUUCGGGUACGUUCGAGCUUAGGAUGUUGACAUAAUGGCUUUAAACGACCCGUCUUG